rnacentral:rRNA from 1 species
UAGUCCACGCCGUAAACGAUGGGUACUAGGUGUUGCGGGAAUUGACCCCUGCAGUGCCGAAGCUAACGCAAUAAGUACCCCGCCUGGGAAGUACGGUCGCAAGAUUAAAACUCAAAGGAAUUGACGGGGGCCCGCACAAGCGGUGGAGCAUGUGGUUUAAUUCGAUGCAACGCGAAAAACCUUACCUGGGUUUGAAAGCCUCGGACAACCCUAGAGAUAGGGCUUUCCCUUCGGGGACUGAGUGCUAGGUGCUGCAUGGCUGUCGUCAGCUCGUAUCGUGAGAUGUCGGGUUAAGUCCCUUAACGAGCGCAACCCUUAUCCUUCGUUGCCAGCAUUUAGUUGGGCACUCAAAGGAGACUGCCCGUGUUAAGCGGGAGGAAGGUGGGGAUGACGUCAAGUCCUCAUGGCCCUUAUGCCCAGGGCUACACACGUGCUACAAUGGCCGGUAUAGAGGGCGGCCAACCCGCGAGGGGGAGCUAAUCUCAGAAAACCGGUCUCAGUUCGGAUUGGAGUCUGCAACUCGACUCCAUGAAGUU